rnacentral:lncRNA from 1 species
AGUAGGUUUGAUUUGUUCUUCAGUGCUGUUCCUUUGAACAAAAAGUAUUUUUUUUAACAAUUUUAGAAAUUUAUUAUGCUUUUUGAUUAGUUUCUGCAUUGCUGAAGGAAUGAUACUUAUAAGCGUUUUUCUGUGGUAACAUGGGAAUUGAUACAGUCUUGUAUUUCUGCUGAAGCUUUUGAUGGUUUUGAUUUUGUUAUUUCGUGUUUCAACUCUUCUCGUCUUUGUGUCUUUACCGAUCAUAGUUCUCUUUCUUUUCUUCUUUUUU